rnacentral:lncRNA from 1 species
CCCAGGGUGGUGCUUGGUCCACAGAAGGUGGAUUUGUUCAAGCUGUACUUCUGAAGACACAUGUGGGAUAAUUAACAAGGCAUCUGCAGCAGAGAGUGGAUUUGUCAACAUGCAAAGCUGCUGAUCUGCCCCUGCAUGCUGCUCCCUGCCCUAAGUGUGAGGAGGAUGAACUGCCCUCUUUUCACCUGCACCUCCCUGGAUGGAACAGAGCAUCUCCAUAAUACUUUAUGCAGAAGUAUCACUUCUAUUUAACACCAGAAACCCCAGGCACCAACUUUAAAUUUUAAAUAAAGGAAAAUGUGGACCACUUGCAAUGUUACAAAGCAAAAAGAAACACAAGAGGCAAAUAUUCCAAUCUAUUCUCCACUCUCAGCAUUAACACAACAAAAUAAAACAAAACCUGCAACGACAAUCAGAUUUGUAAAAAUACUAGUAGUCAGAAUCCCCACCUUAUCUUCUCAACAAUUUGGCUUUCCAAAAUCAUUGGUUUUCAUGAGUGUGCAUGUCAAAAGUUAAAUCCCGUUCUCUUGUUACUGUGAGCUGUUUUAGAAAGGGUGGGAAUGUAAGUUCUGAACAUACCUGCUAAAGGUGGCUGUGCAACGCUGACAGUUAGUAACUGUGCACCCUUCAAAGAGGCUGGCUGAGUUGCAGGUGUGCUGAGCUCAACCAUGAUCUGCUGGGAAUGCACAUUCUCAGUGCAGGACAAAUGAAAUUGGUUCUAACUCUGCAAUGCAGCAGAAAAAAGAAAUGGCUA